AGCGAACGCUGGCGGCAGGCCUAACACAUGCAAGUCGAACGAACCCUUCGGGGUUAGUGGCGGACGGGUGAGUAACACGUGGGAACGUGCCUUUAGGUUCGGAAUAACUCAGGGAAACUUGUGCUAAUACCGAAUGUGCCCUUCGGGGGAAAGAUUUAUCGCCUUUAGAGCGGCCCGCGUCGGAUUAGCUAGUUGGUGGGGUAAAGGCCUACCAAGGCGACGAUCCGUAGCUGGUCUGAGAGGAAGAUCAGCCACACUGGGACUGAGACACGGCCCAGACUCCUACGGGAGGCAGCAGUGGGGAAUAUUGGACAAUGGGCGAAAGCCUGAUCCAGCAAUGCCGCGUGAGUGAUGAAGGCCUUAGGGUUGUAAAGCUCUUUUACCCGGGAUGAUAAUGACAGUACCGGGAGAAUAAGCCCCGGCUAACUCCGUGCCAGCCGCCGCCGUAAGAC
rnacentral:rRNA from 1 species